rnacentral:other from 23 species
GUUUAUAUCCCACACAGUUCAGAUAAAAC